rnacentral:rRNA from 1 species
UACGUAGGGCGCAAGCGUUAUCCGGAAUUAUUGGGCGUAAAGAGCUCGUAGGCGGUCUGUCGCGUCGGCUGUGAAAACCCGAGGCUCAACCUCGGGCCUGCAGUCGAUACGGGCAAACUAGAGUACUGCAGGGGGAGACUGGAAUUCCUGGUGUAGCGGUGAAAUGCGCAGAUAUCAGGAGGAGCACCGGUGGCGAAGGCGGGUCUCUGGGCAGUAACUGACGCUGAGGAGCGAAAGCGUGGGGGAGCGAACAGG